rnacentral:rRNA from 1 species
UACGGAGGGUGCAAGCGUUAUCCGGAUUCACUGGGUUUAAAGGGUGCGUAGGCGGGUUGGUAAGUCCGUGGUGAAAUCUCCAAGCUUAACUUGGAAACUGCCGUGGAUACUAUCAAUCUUGAAUAUCGUGGAGGUAAGCGGAAUAUGUCAUGUAGCGGUGAAAUGCUUAGAUAUGACAUAGAACACCAAUGGCGUAGGCAGCUUACUACACGAUCAUUGACGCUGAGGCACGAAAGCGUGGGGAGCAAACAGG